CCUACGGGAGGCAGCAGUGGGGAAUAUUGCACAAUGGGGGGAACCCUGAUGCAGCGACGCCGCGUGAGUGAAGAAGUAUUUCGGUAUGUAAAGCUCUAUCAGCCGGGAAGAAAAUGACGGUACCUGACUAAGAAGCCACGGCUAACUACGUGCCAGCAGCCGCGGUAAUACGUAGGGGGCAAGCGUUAUCCGGAUUUACUGGGUGUAAAGGGAGCGCAGACGGCUGUGAAAGUCUGGAGUGAAAGGCGGGGGCCCAACCCCCGGACUGCUCUGGAAACUGUAAAGCUUGAGUGCAGGAGAGGUAAGCGGAAUUCCUAGUGUAGCGGUGAAAUGCGUAGAUAUUAGGAGGAACACCAGUGGCGAAGGCGGCUUACUGGACUGCAACUGACGUUGAGGCUCGAAAGCGUGGGGAGCAAACAGGAUUAGAUACCCCGGUAGUC
rnacentral:rRNA from 1 species